rnacentral:lncRNA from 1 species
CCUUGGCAUGUUGAAGGAAAACAAAAUGUAUUCUGCUAAUCAAGUCAUUAGUGACUUUGAAAGUGAUGGAUUAUAUCAAAAAACAGCAAAUAAUCAGAGAUAAAGAAGUAUAUUUUAAAGAUUAAAAAUAUUUUAUUUAAACUUUUCUUCAUAAACACUUUUAACAUUUUUUUCAAUUUAAAAACAGAAUGGAUAGCAUAAACAUGUUUGAAUAGAUUAUAUCCACGGCUUGGGAAAAAUUACCUGACAAAAAUGUAAAGGCUUUCAAAACAGGUAUAAAAGGCAAACCUUAAAUUAUUCUAAGAUUUUUAUAUCGGCCCUAGGAUUAUUUGACUACUGGCCCAAAAUGUACCUAAAGGUCAAAAUAUUUUUCUAUAGACAAAGUAUGCCCAAGAGGUAUAGGGCAUAUACAAGUUAGGUAGAAAAUAACCUCUCCCAAUCACCUCACUGGACCAUUCCUUCAGAAAGCAAACACCUAAUCCUUACUAUAUACUGACUAAUAACAUUUUAAAUGCAGUUGUUCCCAAAAUGUAAAAAGAAAACCAAAGAAUUUAAGGGAGAACAAAGCUGAUGGCAUUCUCCUCAAUGUUACUUGUGUAAUAUUGAAGUUAUACGGUGUACUGAAAGGAUAUGAUUUCCAUGAAUUUAUCUAUUCCAGUCUAUGCCUACUGAAUAUUUGACUUUAUAAACUCUGGAUAAACUAAUUUUUAGGACUUCCAUUUUUAAGAUAAAUCUCUUUUUAGAAGAUAUUUAUUCCCAAACCAACUCUAAAUGUAAUUGAACAAACAUAUGAUCUCUCAAAAUGUUCAGAAUACAAAAACAAAAAUCAAAAAUGUAUAACAGGCAAACAAGAAAACUGGCACUAGCAGUUUUACUGCCAUAUAGCCCUCAAUUAUAUCUGAUUUACACUAUUAUCUAUGUUGCAUUUUACUUCAGUCUAAAACUUUAAAUUAUGAAUUCUCAAAAGAGCUAGUCUCCUCUGAGAGAUAGCUUAUAAACUGAAAUAACAAUUUAUAUUAUAAACUGAAAUGUUAUGACCUACACCCACAUAUACAUAUAUAAAAAUAGUCCCACUGAACGUUUGACAUGUUUAGAUUAUGCAGCUCAAAUAAUCUGUUAUAAAAUAUUUUAAAGCUUAGUUUCAUGUAAUUAAGACAAAACUCCAUUUUUACCACUUCUCCCCACAUAAAGCGUGUGUC